rnacentral:rRNA from 1 species
UACGGGGGGGGGCAAGCGUUGUUCGGAAUUACUGGGCGUAAAGGGCUCGUAGGCGGCCAACUAAGUCGGAUGUGAAAGCCCUUGGCUUAACCGAGGAAGUGCAUCCGAAACUGGCGAGCUAGAGUACGAAAGAGGAUCGCGGAAUUCCCGGUGUAGAGGUGAAAUUCGUAGAUAUCGGGAGGAACACCGGUGGCGAAGGCGGCGAUCUGGGUCGAUACUGACGCUGAGGUGCGAAAGCGUGGGGGAGCAAACAGG